CCAUUUGCUGAAUCAGGGCAGGGUCAGAGUGCAGGGGAAGGGUCCAGGGUUCACCAACCGUUAGUGGCCAAACCGGUCGGUGUGACGGGACCAAGCGCAACCUUCAAAAACGCUCUUCUUGCCGUCUUCAGCAAGACAAACAGGGAAAGGCUCCUGUGCCUGCCAAAACUUUGCCUGUCAUAAAAGCAUCCUCCAUGUCACAGUGACAACCACGAGAACAGAACGGGAGGCAGCAAGGUCUAGAGGAUGAGAUGCAGAACCGGGAAUCAGACCUGUUUCCCAAGAAGACCGAGAACUACUUUUAAUUGAGAUGUACAAAGGAGGUGCAGGAGGACAAUAAUUUGUGACUCAAAAAUAACACGCAAGUCAAGAGUUGUGAAUGGAAUUUAGGCAGUGCCUUCAAAUCCUGCAGCCUUCAAUCACUUUAUAAGGAUAGCACAGGCCACCACUGGCUUGGAGAUUGUCACAUUACUCAUCUCUCAUCUGCCUAAUCCACUUUACCACCUACAGUCCAAACAACCAGGAGAGAGAAGUCCGUGUGGACUUUCCCUCAUCAAAAGUGAACCAGGAAACAGUUUCAAAGCAGGUUGUCCAAGCAUACAAGGCUCAUGAAGAAAGGACCUGCUCCCUUUCCUUUGAACUUUGGCUGCUUUCCCUGCUCUCUGAGCAGAACACUGCAGGAAAGAGACAAAACCUGCCUGGCUGGAUCUACCGCUAGUAUGCGCUGGGCCAGCUCAGCUGGGUCCUCACUGCUCUUGGCAACGCAUGGACCUCCUUAUUCACCAGCAGACCACAUGGACAUCUUUACCUUGACUCCAAAUUUUAGUUCCAAUUGCAACUCUUCUAAACCAUUCACAUUGAUUCAAGCCUCAAGUGCAACUUCAUUACUUUAUUCUGAGCACAAGUCCCCUUUCUACACUCUUAAAAUGUAGGAUAUCUACUCUGAGCUUCCUUAUCUCACAUCUGUCCCCACUUUUCUCUUCCCUUUGCCACCAUCCUACCCACCUCCUACUCACCUCCAUGAGACUGUCAACAUAACAGCCUCUUACUUCUCACUCUCUCUCUUUAGACUCUCCUCCCUCCAAUCCAUCCUGAACACUGCCUGCCAGGUUAAUAUUAUUACCUCACCUCUUUGACCAUUUCACAAACAUAUUCCAUCAUUUUCAUUGGGUUCUUAUUACCUAAAGAGCUUCUUAGCCUAGUUCUCAAACUCUCAACCAAACCCUAUCUUUCCAGAAUCGCAUCCCUCUCUUCCCCUCUAGAUAGGCAUGCUCUAGUCACCCCUUGGAUUUUCUUGCCUCUGCACCAUUGCUCAAGCCAUUUCUGCCACAUUGAAUGCUCUCUCCUCAUUGCUGGCUAUUUCAAUACUCCCCACAAUCUCAGGGCCAAAUGAUGUACCACUGAGUACAUGAAAUCCUGCCUGAUUACAGCUCUCAGCUGUGCACACCUGGAGUUCUUUGUGGCAUUGUUGAUCCACAUGUAAGCAGAUAAUUACUGAGAAGCAUCCACAUGCCAGACACUAUGUUAACCACUGGGAUCACAGCAAUAACCAAGAGAGAGUCAGAGUAAGGUGGACAGUAAAUAGGUAGUAAGGAAUAUGACAGAGGUAAGCAAAGGGUGUUGUGGGAUCCACAUAUAUGAUCCCAUCGAGUCUUGGUGGGAGCCAAGAUUGCCUGGAGGAAACAACAUACAUACAUCUAAGUUGGGUCCUUUAGGAGAGUUAUCCAAAUGAAUAAGCAGAGAAAUAGAGGACCACUUCUCAGCACAGAGAAUACUAUAUUCAAGGAACUGCAUAUGGUCCAACAUAGAUGGAGCAGAGACUUCAAAGAGGGCUGGAGUGGUGAGAGAAAACUCUGGAAAGGGAAACAAAUCAGCUCAUAAAGAGGCUUGUGGACCACGUGAAAGAGCUAGGACUUGAUCCUGAGUAUAUUCGGGAGCUACUGAAGAACUGUAGAGGCAUACACAAUCCUAUUUGCAUAUGGUGAAACCUUUCUGCAAAAAGUAUCAAUUGAGAAAUCGAGCUGUUGUAGUAAAGUAGACCAAAGAUGAAGAUGGCCUCCACUAAUACAGUUCCAUGAUGACACAAAGAAGUAGAUGGAUUUGAGAGUUAUUAAGGAGGUAAAAUCAGGAUGAUCAGCCACUGAUUAGGUGAAGGUAAGGGAUGAGAGUCAAAGAUGAUGCUCAGGUUUCUGGCUUAGACAACUAUUUAGAUAGGAGCACCACGCACUGAGAUGAGAGACACUGGGGUGGAAGCAGUUUGGAAUGAGAUGAAUAUGAAAUGCCUGUGAGAUUUUCAAGGCAUGAUGCCCAAUUCACCAAUAGUUAGACAAAUAGUUCUAGAGUUGAAGAAAAUGACGUGGGCUUAAGUUUUCAAUUUGGAUAUCAUCAUCUAUAGGUAAACAGUAAUCAAGGCACCGUAAAUAGAUUAAAUCAACCCAGAUAAAGUGUACAGCAUGAGGAGAGAUGAGGGUCACAGUGAAUACCAAUAGUUAAAGAGUACAAAGGAAAGUUUCAGAAAGACGACAGGAGAGAGGAAGCCUGAGAUGUAGACGGAACACCCAGAGAGGGUGAUGCCAUGCAAGCAAAGAGAAUUUCAAGGAGAGACUGUUGACAAGUAAAAAAAGGGCAGGCAAUUAUCCUUUGGAUUUAGGCACAAAGAGAUCGUGAAGGGGUAUGAAGGUUUUUUCCACGGAUUGGUGGGUUCAGAUGCCAGUUGCACUGCAAUGACACUUAUCACAUACACCUUGACACAAGUCAGCCUGUGUGUCUCCUGGCACUCCUUCAAGACCCCAAAUUCUGACCAAAGAGCUACAGGAUCUCCACCUGUGCACUUUAUACAGCACCUCACACACAGGAGACAUUCAAUGAAAACUUGUAGAAAAUAAUUGCACAUCGAUGUCCCUUCCUUUAAAAACUUCAUUCGGAAGCAUGUUAAAGUCGCUUGAGAGGAAAGAUGCUCACAGCCGCUCACUGACCUUGUGUGGCAUUUGUCCAUCUCUCCCUCACUUUCAGGCAUUAAAUUAAUCAUGCCCUUUCUUCCCACCCCUACUCCUGGGUCAAUAGACGAGGUCCUUCUGGUCUAAUUCGACUCCUAAAUGAGCUCUAGAGGCUUAAGGCAGAGCCUGGACCAACCAACUGCACCCUCCCCCUCUUCCAUCUAGUGGUAUUUAGUUGAUGCUGCAAAAAAAUUAGGCUGGUUUUGCUUCUGAUUAUUUCUGCAUGGGCUCUUUUGUGACCUCUCUCAGAGAGGGUGACCACUUAUCACUCAGAAGACACAGAGCCACAUCCGCAACAGUCCAAGCAGCCAUCAUUUAGUAAGCACUUCCUACGAGCCAGGUACCAUGCUGACUUUCAGACAGAACUUCUUCAGUCAUAUUACAGCUCCACUCAAAAUCCUCACUGGCUCCACAUUGUUCAAAGAAUAAAUGUAAUUUGCCUCUAUUUCUUGUUUAAUGCCUUUAAUUCAUUCAAAACAAUGCAAAACAAAGACAAAAACCAAAAGAAUGCAUUAGGUUAAAAGGCUAUUAUCAGAUUGUAAAAAUACAUGUGAGCUAAAAGUACCCUAUCAUUUGUACCUUGAACAAGGUCGCUCCAGAAGAAUGUCCUCUCUAAUUAAAUAGGACAGUAAAACUAUUCUCUCUUUUCCUGGCUUAAUCAAUUUAUUAAUUGUGGCACUGACCAUAUUUUGUUACUGUUGGGUCAUAUUCUCGUGAGGGA